rnacentral:tRNA from 1 species
AAAGUUUUAAGUUAAAUUAAACUAAUAGUCUUCAAAACUAUAAAUAUAAGAUAAAUUACUUUUAAACUUUA